UUGCCGGAGAGCUUACAAUAUGACAUUUACAACAGCAGCUCCAUCAAGUCUGACUUUGAUCCAGCUCACACCAAGAAAAGACACUGAAGUGAAUAUCGAAUGUAACAAAUUGAGGGAAACAACGACAAAAGUUACUUCUACCAAGAGUACAAGUGAAGAAACUACUGAAAAGAGAACGACAGUAAAAACUCUAACGUCAACUAAUUCAUCUACGACACCUCACGUUGCAGAAUCCAGUGGUAAUAUAAAUAUUUA